CAUGGCAUCGCUAAGGCUUACACUGUGUGCUGUUUUCGUUGUGGUUCUAAUGGUAUGUUCAGGCUGUGACGAGAGACAAAUUACCUUUUAGAGGCAAAUUCAAGGAUUUAAAUGCUCAGUUGUAAUUUGUAUAACUACUAUCUAGCUGUAAAACUGCAUAGUUUGCACUCACUUUAUUUUACAUUCUUUCAUAAAACGAAAAAUACAAAUUAUACAAGUUAUCGAAUGAUAAACGUAGAUGAGUUUUAUUUUUCGUUCCUCAAAUAAUUUCCCUUAUGAGUUAUAAAAAAAGAUUGUCAGUGUCCUUCCCACUGUGAUAUUUGUAAAGUUUAGAUAUAUAAUACCCUUUUUUCAGUCAGAAGUUGGGGUGAAAUCAGAAUCCCCUGUAUGUCGGAUCAGCUACUCGGAAUUGGCAGGGAAAUGUCCCGCCUAUCUGAGCGCUGAAAAGUACCCUGCCGAUGCCGACCCGAGGCGUCUUUACUGCGAAUGCGCCCGCGACAGCGACUGCCCGACCGGCUAUCUCUGUUGCGUGGGUCAGGGCGGGUUCACUUCCGGUUGCUACGAACCCGAAGCUUAGGAGCCACAGGAGUUUCGGUUCGUGAGUCGUGGUUGGCUGGUUUGGGUUGGUGGGUAAGGAGAGAUUUGUAUCUGGAAAAGGAAAGAGUGAAUGUCA